UACGUAGGGGGCGAGCGUUGUCCGGAGUUACUGGGCGUAAAGCGCACGCAGGCGGUCUGCUAAGUUUGGAGUGACAGUUGGUGGCUUAACUGCCAAAGUGCUUCGAAAACUGACAGACUUGAGGGCUUCAGAGGGACACGGAAUUCCGGGUGGAGUGGUGAAAUGCGUAGAGAUCCGGAGGAACACCAAAGGCGAAGGCAGUGUCCUGGGCUAACACUGACGCUCAGGCACGAAAGCGUGGGGAGCAAACAGG
rnacentral:rRNA from 1 species